ACAUCUGCUAGGAGUGCGGGUACUGGAUCUUCAUUCUUAACCUUGACGGCCCAAAACACGCUAAUAGCUGCUACAUCAAUUAACUUCUCCAUGUUAGGAAAUAACACCAAUCCAAAAAUAAGUAAAGCCAUAAUAGUAUCAUGGGCUUCCCACUUCUGGGCUUUGGCAAAGCUUUGAGCAGUUUUCUCCAGGUACUCUUGUGG
rnacentral:lncRNA from 1 species